AAAUGCGCAGGCGCGCUUUUGAGUCCUUUCUGCUGUAGGGGAUAAAGGGGGAAAAAGCGCGCUUCCUUUUGCGGUUGCCGCUCAUCCUUUAUUUGCAAGCAUUCUUCAGGAUCCGUGUCAGGAGACCCCAGAGGUGCCUCAUGACGCUUCUCCUUACAUCUCAAUGGCUGUAACCUAGCCCCAUGACCACAUCUUGGUGAAAAGGAGGUCAGGAAAUGAAGGCUUUGGAUGGAGCCACAAAGUGAUGAACUACAAGUUGCUGUUACAGAAAAGGGAUUGGGAAAUGAAUACCAGGAGGCUAAGUGCAGUCUCUGCAGUGAAGGUCCUAGCACAGAGCUUCUCAAAGAGUUUUGGGGACUUCCUGGUGGUCCAGUAGCUAAGACUCCCCACUCCCAAUGCAAGAAGUCCGAGUUCGAUCCCUGGUCAGGGAACUAGAUCCCACAUGACAUCCCACAAGAACCAGCAUGCCUCAAUGAUGAGCGACGAUCCUGCAUGCUGCAACUGAGACCUUGUGCAGCCAAAUAAAUAUUUUAAAACAAAAUAAACAAUUUUUAAAAAUUAAAAAUAAUAAAA